CUCUCCCCUCUCUCCUCUCUACUUUGAAAAACCCUAGCCUCCAUUGUUGAUUUUUAAAGGGGCUUCCAUCGGUUUUUACCGUUGGAAAGCCCCCACCUUUGCUUUUUUAUUUGUUUUUAGGUUUCCAAUAACGAUUUCUCCCUCGAAAGACAGGGUUUUCGAUCUCCUUCGUAAGAAAAGGUUUUUCGAUCUCCUUCGAAAGACAAGGUUUUUCGACCUCCUUCGAAAGACAGGGUUUUUCUCCUCUUUUAGAGGGGGAAUUUCUACAGGUUACAAUCCGGGAUACUAGAUGUAAUGGAUUGCCGUGAAAUUAUUUUGUUGGUGAAGAAUUAUGCGGGAUCACAAAGGUUAUCAAUUUUUCGAAUACUGUCAGAUGAAUCCGACGGAAAUCAUCCUCACGACUACAAGGGAUCGUUAGAUUGUCUCUCCAACAAGGCUGUAUUUUCCAGCGAUAUAAGCGGGAGAUGUUCCACAUUGCAAGAUUUGUUUGACGAUCGUAGUUUUUAUGAAGGAAAUUUUUGUUUGAUUCAACUUAUGUAUUUGUUUGAUUCGAUUGCUUAUGUAGAUGUCGUAUGACUUUUUAUUAAUGAAUUAAU